CCUACGGGGGGCAGCAGUGGGGAAUAUAGGACAAUGGGGGCAACCCUGAUCCAGCCAUGCCGCGUGUGUGAAGAAGGCCCUCGGGUUGUAAAGCACUUUCAGUGAGGAAGAACGCCUGGUGGUUAAUACCCAUCAGGAAAGACAUCACUCACAGAAGAAGCACCGGCUAACUCCGUGCCAGCAGCCGCGGUAAUACGGAGGGUGCGAGCGUUAAUCGGAAUUACUGGGCGUAAAGCGCGCGUAGGUGGCUUGAUAAGCCGGUUGUGAAAGCCCCGGGCUCAACCUGGGAACGGCAUCCGGAACUGUCAAGCUAGAGUGCAGGAGAGGAAGGUAGAAUUCCCGGUGUAGCGGUGAAAUGCGUAGAGAUCGGGAGGAAUACCAGUGGCGAAGGCGGCCUUCUGGACUGACACUGACACUGAGGUGCGAAAGCGUGGGUAGCAAACAGGAUUAGAUACCCUUGUAGUC
rnacentral:rRNA from 1 species